rnacentral:rRNA from 1 species
ACAUGUCUACAACAUAGAAUUAAUGCACAAGAUCCCAUUAGAAUUUUGCAAUUAAGCGUGCUCAAGAUAGAGUAGUAUUGGGAUGGGUGACCUCUCGGGAAUUCCUAGUGUUUUACAUUCC